UACGGGGGGGGCAAGCGUUGUUCGGAAUUACUGGGCGUAAAGGGCUCGUAGGCGGCCAACUAAGUCAGACGUGAAAUCCCUCGGCUUAACCGGGGAACUGCGUCUGAUACUGGAUGGCUUGAGUCCGGGAGAGGGGGGUGGAAUUCCCAGUGUAGCGGUGAAAUGCGUAGAUAUUGGGAGGAACACCGGUGGCGAAGGCGGCCCCCUGGACCGGUACUGACGCUGAGGCGCGAAAGCGUGGGUAGCAAACGGG
rnacentral:rRNA from 1 species